AGAGUUUGAUCAUGGCUCAGAAUCAACGCUGGCGGCGUGCCUAACACAUGCAAGUCGAACGAGAAAGUGGUAGCAAUACCAUGAGUAAAGUGGCGCACGGGUGAGUAACACGUGACUAACCUACCCUGGAGUGGGGGAUAACUGAGGGAAACCUUAGCUAAUACCGCAUAAUACCCACGGGUCAAAGGAGCAAUUCGCUUUGGGAGGGGGUCGCGGCCGAUUAGUUAGUUGGCGGGGUAACGGCCCACCAAGACGAUGAUCGGUAUCCGGCCUGAGAGGGCGCACGGACACACUGGAACUGAAACACGGUCCAGACUCCUACGGGAGGCAGCAGUGGGGAAUUUUGCGCAAUGGGGGAAACCCUGACGCAGCAACGCCGCGUGGAGGAUGAAGUCCUUCGGGACGUAAACUCCUUUCGAUCGGGACGAUUAUGACGGUACCGGAAGAAGAAGCCCCGGCUAACUUCGUGCCAGCAGCCGCGGUAAUACGAGGGGGGCGAGCGUUGUUCGGAAUUAUUGGGCGUAAAGGGUGCGUAGGCGGUUUUGUAAGUCUUAUGUGAAAUCUAUGGGCUCAACUCAUAGACUGCAUGAGAAACUGCAGGGCUCGAGUGUGGGAGAGGUGAGUGGAAUUCCUGGUGUAGCGGUGAAAUGCGUAGAUAUCAGGAGGAACACCUGUGGCGAAAGCGGCUCACUGGACCAUAACUGACGCUGAUGCACGAAAGCUAGGGGAGCAAACAGGAUUAGAUACCCUGGNAGUCCUAGCCCUAAACCAUGAUUGCUUGGUGUGACGGGUACCCAAUCCCGCCGUGCCGUAGCUAACGCGUUAAGCAAUCCGCCUGGGG
rnacentral:rRNA from 1 species